ACGGCAGCACGGGGGCAACCCUGGUGGCGAGUGGCGAACGGGUGAGUAAUACAUCGGAACGUGUCCUGUAGUGGGGGAUAGCCCGGCGAAAGCCGGAUUAAUACCGCAUACGAUCUACGGAAGAAAGCGGGGGAUCCUUCGGGACCUCGCGCUAUAGGGGCGGCCGAUGGCAGAUUAGCUAGUUGGUGGGGUAAAGGCCUACCAAGGCGACGAUCUGUAGCUGGUCUGAGAGGACGACCAGCCACACUGGGACUGAGACACGGCCCAGACUCCUACGGGAGGCAGCAGUGGGGAAUUUUGGACAAUGGGGGCAACCCUGAUCCAGCAAUGCCGCGUGUGUGAAGAAGGCCUUCGGGUUGUAAAGCACUUUUGUCCGGAAAGAAAACCUACCUGUUAAUACCGGGUGGGGAUGACGGUACCGGAAGAAUAAGCACCGGCUAACUACGUGCCAGCAGCCGCGGUAAUACGUAGGGUGCGAGCGUUAAUCGGAAUUACUGGGCGUAAAGCGUGCGCAGGCGGUCUGUUAAGACCGAUGUGAAAUCCCCGGGCUUAACCUGGGAACUGCAUUGGUGACUGGCAGGCUAGAGUAUGGCAGAGGGGGGUAGAAUUCCACGUGUAGCAGUGAAAUGCGUAGAGAUGUGGAGGAAUACCGAUGGCGAAGGCAGCCCCCUGGGCCAAUACUGACGCUCAUGCACGAAAGCGUGGGGAGCAAACAGGAUUAGAUACCCUGGUAGUCCACGCCCUAAACGAUGUCAACUAGUUGUUGGGGAUUCAUUUCCUUAGUAACGUAGCUAACGCGUGAAGUUGACCGCCUGGGGAGUACGGUCGCAAGAUUAAAACUCAAAGGAAUUGACGGGGACCCGCACAAGCGGUGGAUGAUGUGGAUUAAUUCGAUGCAACGCGAAAAACCUUACCUACCCUUGACAUGGACGAAACCCGGGUGAAAGCUUGGGGUGCUCGAAAAAGAAUCGUCCCACAGGUGCUGCAUGGCUGUCGUCA
rnacentral:rRNA from 1 species